rnacentral:tRNA from 1 species
ACAUCGGUAGCACAGUGGUUAGUGCAAUCUGCUGGAAACAGAAAGCCGCGGGUUCCUUUCCCGUCCAAUGUC